GACCUCAGAUCAGGCAAGACUACCCGCUGAAUUUAAGCAUAUCAAUAAGCGGAGGAAAUCAUCUAGUGCGGCCGCCUGCAGGUCGA
rnacentral:rRNA from 1 species